GACGAACGCUGGCGGCGCGCCUAACACAUGCAAGUCGAACGAGCGAGAGAGAGCUUGCUUUCUUGAGCGAGUGGCGAACGGGUGAGUAACGCGUGAGGAACCUGCCUCAAAGAGGGGGACAACAGUUGGAAACGACUGCUAAUACCGCAUAAGCCCACGACCCGGCAUCGGGUUGAGGGAAAAGGAGCAAUCCGCUUUGAGAUGGCCUCGCGUCCGAUUAGCUAGUUGGUGAGGUAACGGCCCACCAAGGCGACGAUCGGUAGCCGGACUGAGAGGUUGAACGGCCACAUUGGGACUGAGACACGGCCCAGACUCCUACGGGAGGCAGCAGUGGGGAAUAUUGCACAAUGGGGGAAACCCUGAUGCAGCGACGCCGCGUGGAGGAAGAAGGUCUUCGGAUUGUAAACUCCUGUUGUUGAGGAAGAUAAUAACGGUACUCAACAAGGAAGUGACGGCUAACUACGUG
rnacentral:rRNA from 1 species